rnacentral:tRNA from 1 species
CGGGGUGUGGCGCAAUUGGCUAGCGCGCAUCGUUUGGGACGAUGAGGUUGCGAGUUCAAGUCUCGCCACCCCGACCA